CAGCCCUAAACGAUGCGCGUUAGGUGUAUCGGUGACCACGAGUCACCGAGGUGCCGAAGGGAAACCGUGAAACGUGCCGCCUGGGAAGUACGGUCGCAAGGCUGAAACUUGAAGGAAUUGGCGGGGGGAGCACCACAACGGGUGGAGCCUGCGGUUUAAUUGGACUCAACGCCGGGAAGCUCACCGGAUAAGACAGCGGAAUGAUUGCCGGGCUGAAGACCCUGCAUGACCAGCUGAGAGGAGGUGCAUGGCGUAGUCGUGU
rnacentral:rRNA from 1 species